rnacentral:rRNA from 1 species
UACGAAGGGGGCUAGCGUUGCUCGGAAUCACUGGGCGUAAAGCACACGUAGGCGGACUCUUAAGUCGGUGGUGAAAUCCUGGAGCUCAACUCCAGAACUGCCUUCGAUACUGAGAGUCUCGAGUCCGGGAGAGGUGAGUGGAACUGCGAGUGUAGAGGUGAAAUUUGUAGAUAUUCGCAAGAACACCAGUGGCGAAGGCGGCUCACUGGCCCGAUACUGACGCUGAGGCACGAAAGCGUGGGGAGCAAACAGG